rnacentral:rRNA from 1 species
AGAGUUUGAUCAUGGCUCAGGACGAACGCUGGUGGCACGCUUAACACAUGCAAGUCGAACGAGAGAAGAGGAGCUUGCUUUUCUGAUCUAGUGGCGGACGGGUGAGUAACACGUGAGCAAUCUGCCUUUCAGAGGGGGAUACCGAUUGGAAACGAUCGUUAAUACCGCAUAACAUAAUUGAACCGCAUGAUUUGAUUAUCAAAGAUUUAUCGCUGAAAGAUGAGCUCGCGUCUGAUUAGCUAGUUGGUAAGGUAACGGCUUACCAAGGCGACGAUCAGUAGCCGGACUGAGAGGUUGAUCGGCCACAUUGGGACUGAGACACGGCCCGGACUCCUACGGGAGGCAGCAGUGGGGAAUAUUGCACAAUGGAGGAAACUCUGAUGCAGCGAUGCCGCGUGAGGGAAGAAGGUUUUAGGAUUGUAAACCUCUGUCUUCAGGGACGAAAAAAGACGGUACCUGAGGAGGAAGCUCCGGCUAACUACGUGCCAGCAGCCGCGGUAAUACGUAGGGAGCGAGCGUUGUCCGGAAUUACUGGGUGUAAAGGGAGCGUAGGCGGGAUCGCAAGUCAGAUGUGAAAACUAUGGGCUUAACCCAUAAACUGCAUUUGAAACUGUGGUUCUUGAGUGAAGUAGAGGUAAGCGGAAUUCCUAGUGUAGCGGUGAAAUGUGUAGAUAUUAGGAGGAACAUCAGUGGCGAAGGCGGCUUACUGGGCUUUAACUGACGCUGAGGCUCGAAAGCGUGGGGAGCAAACAGGAUUAGAUACCCUGGUAGUCCACGCCGUAAACGAUGAUUACUAGGUGUGGGGGGACUGACCCCUUCCGUGCCGCAGCAAACGCAAUAAGUAAUCCACCUGGGGAGUACGACCGCAAGGUUGAAACUCAAAGGAAUUGACGGGGGCCCGCACAAGCAGUGGAGUAUGUGGAUUAAUUCGAAGCAACGCGAAGAACCUUACCAGGUCUUGACAUCGUAUGCAUAGCUCAGAGAUGAGUGAAAUCUCUUCGGAGACAUAUAGACAGGUGGUGCAUGGUUGUCGUCAGCUCGUGUCGUGAGAUGUUGGGUUAAGUCCCGCAACGAGCGCAACCCUUACUGUUAGUUGCUACGCAAGAGCACUCUAGCAGGACUGCCGUUGACAAAACGGAGGAAGGUGGGGAUGACGUCAAAUCAUCAUGCCCCUUAUGACCUGGGCCUCACACGUACUACAAUGGCUGUCAACAGAGGGAAGCAAAGCCGCGAGGUGGAGCGAACCCCUAAAAGCAGUCUUAGUUCGGAUUGUAGGCUGCAACCCGCCUACAUGAAGUCGGAAUUGCUAGUAAUCGCAGAUCAGCAUGCUGCGGUGAAUACGUUCCCGGGCCUUGUACACACCGCCCGUCACGCCAUGGGAGUCGGUAACACCCGAAGCCUGUAGUCUAACCGCAAGGAGGACGCAGUCGAAGGUGGGAUUGAUGACUGGGGUGAAGUCGUAACAAGGUA